rnacentral:lncRNA from 1 species
UUCUAUUAUUUUAAUUUUAGAUUAUGUUUUAAAUUUAAUAAGUAAUUGUUUUAUUGAAUUAAAAUAGGACCAUUGUUCCUAUAUUUGUAGAUUCUUUCCCAAGAGCUUCUUCUGUACCACCUCAAUUCUCUUGUGGUUGUAUGUCUUUCUUAGACAAGCUGAAAGGGGGUCAUGUUACUAAACUGAGAUUUUUCUUUUUUAACAAAAGGAGUUUGGGUCCUUUAACUGGUAACUGAGGCCAAACACAGUACUACGAAGCUGAAUAAAAACCAGUCUCUCCAGGCAGUUUUCUGCUCAAGGAAUUCAAAGAUGGCAAAUUGGACCUUGAAGCAGAAAAUCUAUGAGCUGUUUUGCUACUGCAAAUCUGAAUUUCUCAGGAAGAGAGUAGGUGUACUUUCCUCCUCAAAGGGUAGGGUGAAUAUCCCCUGACAGGAGGGAAAGUGUGUGAGGGGUUUCCACAUAUGAAGCUAUUUAUCCGCCCAAUUACAGACAGAAAGAACCACAUAGACAGAAAGAAUUCAAUAAACUAUAAUGAGAGAAAGAUUAAAGAGAACAUAUAGAUCUUUGGUUCAUCACAAGAUUACUACACACAGCCUUGUUUUGGGGCUUCAGUAGCCCUCAGCCAUUCAGCAGCAGCCUGGGAAAGGUCUGAAAAGGGAUUGAAACUAUUAUUGACCAUAAACCUUCCAGCAUUAUUAUUUCUUAAUUACCAAGACACCUGGUGAAGAAUUGCAGCUCCAGAACAACAGUCCAAGAAUGCCAUUAAAGACACAAACAUGAUGGCAGUACUGGCUGCUUUAGUAUCACACUCUGCAACUUGUUGCUCAAGAGGAUGUGAAACACAGAUCCUCACAGCUGACUCCACACAGAAAGUGCAAUUUCAAGUGAAUUUUUUAGGCUCCCCUAAACCAACCCUGGAAUAUCAAGUUGGUGCAGUAAGGGCUUGGAGCUUGGCACACUUUGAGGAAGAGGCUGAAGAAUGCUUCACGAUGGGACCUCCCUACGGGGCUUUGGGCUCUCCAUGCUGAUUCCGCCCGCAGGCAGAGGUCCUGGGAAUGGCACUUUGGUUUCUCACUUCUGCUUGGCUAAAAGCAGCAGACCCCAGAGGCUAACUGAGAAAGCACAGUACAAGUGGAAGAUUUAAAAUUUCUGCCAUGGCUUUUUUCCAGUGAGACCCUGGGAAUGUUACAGUUAGCAGGAGCAUGUAAUACACCUGCCUUUGAUGCCUUUCUAUCUGGCAGGCAGCUGACUGGGGAAAAUUACACACUUGUACAUCCAGCAUAGCUUUAAGUAGUUUGUGUCUUAAUGGAUUAAAAUUCCUUGGCCUAUUAAGAAUGAAUAACCUCCAAAUUUUGGCCUAUUUCUACACCAUGGCUUGUUCAAGUAAAUCCAGACCUUUCAGAAACCUUUACUACCAUCGGUUAUAUCUACCAUCUAUUAUAUUCCCCAGCCUUUCAGCUAUACUUUCUAUGUUCUCUCAUUUCCAGUCUGACUGACACAACAGUUGCUUUCAGGGGAUGUAAUCUUUAAUAAUCAACUUACUAGCAGCUGUUUUCUGCAGGCUAUAAUUUCUCAUCUAAAAAGACAUUUUUCUACCAAGAAAAUAUUAGGGUGAUAAAAAAAAAAACCAAAAGAAAAGAAAAAAACCCAAACAAAUUGUAGCUGUAAAAAGUAGUCAUUUCCUCUGCUGCAAACUUAAUCUUAUCAUUCUUGUGAUGUGAUUUGGCACCCAAAUCUUUAGGGUGUCUGCUGUCAAUGCCCUUUAUUGGACUUUCUGGUGAAUGCUGGAGUGUUGAAGCACCAUCACAAAUAAAUUAUGCCACUGACUUGUUUUUUCACAGUGAUGGCUGACCCACAAUAGUAGGAAUAAUAACACUUUUUACUCCACAACAGACCAUAGUGAAAACUAGAGAAGAAAAUAGAAGAGGUUCCAAAACUUAUAUCAAGUAAUCUAAAUUGUUCAUCCUCCUCUGCAAAUCAUAGGUUUACAGCUAUUUACAUAUAGAACUGAAAAGUGUUGAUGUAUCCCUAACCAAAGUUUAUAAAUGUUGAGAAAACACAGUGAGACCCUAUUCCUUAGCUGAGCUUCAUGUAGCUGCUCUCACAGUACAAAAUCACAUCAUUAACAAUUCUUCUGGUCUUGAAACUUAAUUUUAGGGGUGUAUCAAAUGCAAGAACAUCUACGGUCCCAGAGAAUUUUAUGCCCUUGAGUCUUAGUCUAAGGUCACAACCUGUGGCUGUCAAAGAAAACAAAGAAAGAAUAUAUGGCAUGUGUGCAGACCUAUUAUUAAAGUUAUUGAGCAUUUCACCUACCAUAUAUUCAAAUAGCUAAAUUCAAUACCUAUAAUUCUUACAAAACUAAAUUAAUCCAAUUUAUCUAUAUAGCUAUCGGAGUUUAUUGUGUAGCAUUGUGAGUUUAGCCCUUUGUUUCCUUGUAAAUAUAAUAAUAAAUAAUAUUAGGCAAUCUGUACCAAAUCUCCAGCACCUGUAGCCUCAGAUAGGCAAGGCCCAGUGCCUUCACACACUGCUGUCUGUCUGCAAAGGGCAGCAGAACUGGGCAGCAGGAAUGGAGGUAGAACUGCAUGGUUCAAACUGUGGAAACAGCAGCAAGCAUCUGAGCCCCAGUGGCUACGUGAAAUCUUAGGUCCUGAUGUCAUGAGUCGCCACAGAUCUGCUUUAAUGAUAGAACCUAAAACAGAACUUGUGGGCUGUAAAGUCGGUCUCUUUGGGGUGCUGUCUAAUCACUGAACAGCCAGUGGCCAUUCACAUUCCUACCAGCAGCUAACAGAGAACUGGAAAACACAGGUUGCACAUUUUCCUCUCAUUUCCCUCUCUUGCCAGUGCUUUUAUGCUCUCAUUAGUCUCAAUAACAUGUCCAAACAGCUCCUGAAUGGGAGAUCUCACAUGAGAAAUUCACAUUUGACAAAGGUAUGCAGCAGGCAAGCCAGAAGGGAGCUCCUGUCACAGUGGCCAGAGUCAGAGUACAACUUUUACUCCCACAGCAAGUGGAGAAAAUCUCAGUCUGAGCUGAGAAAUCACGCUGGAAUUCCUCUUAGGAAAAAUGAAGCUAUAUCGCUUCAGAAUUUUGUAUCAGGACACAGCUGCUUUUCCUAUCCAAUUCAGCAUUAAUCAUUACAAUACAACUCAAUAAAUAUGAUUGGUGUUUUGUCAAAUCCUAUCACUUUAAUGUUGCAGUGUGGCCAUUGUACACUUUUAUUUGGGGCACAUCUGAAGUCUGUUAGCUUGAAAAGGCUCACUCCAGAGCCAGAAAUCAGUUAUUAUGCAGUUAGGACAUGUUGAACACUGAGUGUGAAGCUUAUUGCACAGUAGCAGGGAAAAUGAAUAUAAGAUUAUCAUCUUUAUUUUAAUGUUAUCGACUUUUCAGCAUAACCCAAAUUUUUUAUAAAAGUAGGGUCUGCAUUGUACUAAAUACUGAAUAGAAACACAAAUGAUCCUACCCCAAAGGAUUUCCAGUUCAUUGGGAACAAAGUGUAAUGUAAAAAAUAACAUUCAGGUAAAAUAUGCAAUCAUGACACUCUUGAAAAAAAUGCUUUUUUUCAUUAUCAUAAUAGUCAGGCUUUCCAUACUCAGGACUAGAUUUAUUAACUGAACUGACUAUCACAAUCUUUAGAGACACAAAAUGAAACCUCCAUGCAUCAUUCCAAACACCAGAGCCCUGAGCAAUAUUAAAAUACUCCUCCCACAACAGGAGAGGGAGGGGAGAGCUGGGCACCCAUGUUAGCAUUUUGCCACACUGCUUUCACCCCAAAAAGAACAUGACAAUAGUGCUCUUGAAGUUUUGUAGCCUUCUGGUAAUUUUUAAAGAGUCCAUAGGUUAGCAUACUUUUGGUCAACAUGCAACAGGCAAAAUGGGAGCCAAAGCAGCCACAGCACUGAAGGAAGCAUCAGAAACUAAAGUUGGAAAAGCAUUUUUCAGCACCAGGCCAAAAGAGCUCAUAGCACAAUCAAAUAAUGGAUUUUCUGUAUUUGUAUUGAUGCAGCUGUAUUUUAAUGAACAGAACUGGUAAUGAGCUAACAACUGUGUCUCACAAUCAUCUGUUGUUCAAGCAGGGAAUCUACCUGCAGGUGCAGCAAGAUCCUCUCUUUCCUUUUGUAAUGGAACCUCUGGAGAUUAGAAUAGAUUUACCCCUUGAGGACAGUCUACCUACUGGUGUUAGACUUAAGAACCUAAGAUUUGCUGUUAAGCUUCCUGGGGAUACACCAAGGUCACAGAUGCUCUAUGCCAUGUAGUAUUUUCUUAGUGGAUUAUUUUUAUUUCAUUAUUCCUUGUAAGUUUUCUGUCUUCCCUGCUACUUUCAUCUGUAAAUUUCUUUUAGUCCCUCUGUUGAAAACCUUGGUUUUGUACAUACCAACCAAUUCGCUUUUUCGUACUUCAACAAAGAACUACCUAGUAGGAACUCCGCACAUAGAUAUGUCUUACACCCUCCCCACCCCUUUGUCAAGAUUCACGUUUUCAUCCACUCAAAAAUCUAAGCCUUCAAAACUCUUCAAAAAUUAGACAGCUUUUUCUUUGUUGUUUCCCUUAAAAAAAAAAAAAAAAAAAAAAAAGGGAAAAUAAAUAGUUCUUUCC